UAAGAUUCAUAUCUAUAUUAUCAGUGUGUAUGUAAUAUCUGUCAGACCGUUGGCGCUAACUAUUAAUCUCAAAAACUCGAGCUAUUAGAAAUAUGUAAUCAAUUCACUUAAAGUGUAAAAAUACAGCGCCCACGGAUCUCAAUUGUGACUCGGCCCACCCGGCCUCACGCCAUUUCGAUCAUGACUAGGCCUACCCAGCCUCACGCCAUUUCGAACACGACUCGGCCCAACAUGACCUCCCGCCACAGGGCAGAAUACUAGUCAAUUUAAGCCAACAAUAUCCACUUUUAUUGUUUGGUUAAUU
rnacentral:lncRNA from 1 species